CUUGAAAAUUAACGAAGAUGGCGGUAUNNUAGUCUAUUCAGNGGAACCUGUCCCGUCANCGAUCAUCCACGAUUUAUUAUACUUAUUUUAUAAGUUUGCAUAUCGCCGUAGGUGGAAUGUCCUUUAAGGGGUUUAAACAUUCAAGAGGUUUUUGCUUGUGAAAAUAAAUCAGGUCAAGAUGUAGCUAAUAAAUAAGAAGAGAUGGGUUACAAUAAAUUUAUUUAUAACNGAUUAAUAUAUGAAA
rnacentral:rRNA from 1 species